rnacentral:rRNA from 1 species
AUUGAACGCUGGCGGCAGGCCUAACACAUGCAAGUCGAACGGUAACAGGAAGAAACCUGCUUCUUUGCUGAGGAGUGUCGGGCGGGGGUGAAAUGUACGUGAAACUGUCUGAUUGCGGGGGAGAACAACUGGGAACGGUAGCGAAAAUCGCACAAAGGCGCAAGACCAAAGAGCAGGGGCUCUUCGCACCUUGCCAGCGUGUAUGCCCAGAUGGGAUUAGCUAGUAGGGGGGGUAACGGCUCACCCAGGCGACGAUCCCUAGCUGGUCUGAGAGGAUGAGCAGCCACACUGGAACUGAGACACGGUCCAGACUCCUACGGGAGGCAGCAGUGGGGAAUAUUGCACAAUGGGCGCAAGCCUGAUGCAGCUAUACCGCGUGUAUGAAGAAGGCCUUCGGGUUGUAAAGUACUUUCGGCGGGAAAGAAGAGAAUAAGGUUAAUACCUUGCCUCAUUGACGUUACCCAAAGAAUAAGCACCGGCUAACUCCGUG